CCUACGGGAGGCAGCAGUGGGGAAUAUUGGGCAAUGGAGGAAACUCUGACCCAGCAACGCCGCGUGAAUGAUGAAGGUCUUCGGAUUGUAAAGUUCUUUUCUAAGGGAAGAAGAAAGUGACGGUACCUUAGGAAUAAGCCUCGGCUAACUACGCGCCAGCAGCCGCGGUAAUACGUAGGAGGCAAGCGUUAUCCGGAAUGACUGGGCGUAAAGGGUGCGUAGGUGGUGCAGCAAGUUAGUAGCGUAAUUCCGGGGCUCAACUUCGGCACUGCUACUGAAACUGUUGGACUUGAGUGCAGGGGAGGCAACUGGAAUUUCUAGUGUAGCGGUGAAAUGCGUAGAUAUUAGGAAGAACACCGGUGGCGAAGGCGGGUUGCUGGACUGUAACUGACACUGAGGCACGAAAGCGUGGGGAGCAAACAGGAUUAGAUACCCGGGUAGUC
rnacentral:rRNA from 1 species